rnacentral:rRNA from 1 species
UACGGGGGGGGCAAGCGUUGUUCGGAAUUACUGGGCGUAAAGGGCUCGUAGGUGGCCAACUAAGUCAGACGUGAAAUCCCUCGGCUUAACCGGGGAACUGCGUCUGAUACUGGAUGGCUUGAGUUUGGGAGAGGGACGCGGAAUUCCAGGUGUAGCGGUGAAAUGCGUAGAUAUCUGGAGGAACACCGGUGGCGAAGGCGCCACUCUGGGCCGUAACUGACGCUGAGGAGCGAAAGCGUGGGUAGCAAACAGG